rnacentral:rRNA from 1 species
CCCUUAGAUGUUCUGGGCCGCACGCGUGCUACACUGAUGCAUUCAACGAGUCUAAAACCUGGUCUGAUAGGGGUGGGUAAUCUUUUGAAUGUGCAUCGUGAUUGGGAUAGAUGAUUGCAAUUUUUCAUCUUCAACGAGGAAUGCCUAGUAAACGCAAGUCAUCAGCUUGCAUUGAUUACGUCCCUGCCCUUUGUACACACCGCCCGUCGCUCCUACCGAUUGAAUGAUCCGAUGAAUAUCAUGGAUUGAGGAUGCAAGUAGGUUAGCCUAUCUUCAUCUUCGAGAAGUGAAGUAAAUCUUAUCAUUUAGAGGAAGGAGAAGUCGUAACA